rnacentral:rRNA from 1 species
AACGAACGCUGGCGGCAGGCCUAACACAUGCAAGUCGAGCGAGGACUUCGGUCCUAGCGGCGGACGAGUGAGUAACGCGUGGGAACGUGCCCUUUGCUACGGAAUAGCCCCGGGAAACUGGGAGUAAUACCGUAUGUGCCCGAGAGGGGAAAGAUUUAUCGGCAAAGGAUCGGCCCGCGUUGGAUUAGGUAGUUGGUGGGGUAAUGGCCUACCAAGCCGACGAUCCAUAGCUGGUUUGAGAGGAUGAUCAGCCACACUGGGACUGAGACACGGCCCAGACUCCUACGGGAGGCAGCAGUGGGGAAUCUUAGACAAUGGGGGAAACCCUGAUCUAGCCAUGCCGCGUGAGCGAUGAAGGCCUUAGGGUUGUAAAGCUCUUUCAGUGGGGAAGAUAAUGACGGUACCCACAGAAGAAGCCCCGGCUAACUCCGUGCCAGCCGCCGCCGUAACAC